rnacentral:rRNA from 1 species
UACAGAGGUCUCAAGCGUUGUUCGGAUUCAUUGGGCGUAAAGGGCGCGUAGGCGGCCGAUCAAGUCGGGGGGUGAAAUCCUGGAGCUCAACUCCAGAACUGCCUUCGAUACUGGAAAGCUCGAGUCCGGGAGAGGUGAGUGGAACUGCGAGUGUAGAGGUGAAAUUCGUAGAUAUUCGCAAGAACACCAGUGGCGAAGGCGGCUCACUGGCCCGGUACUGACGCUGAGACGCGAAAAGCGUGGGGGAGCGAACAGG